UUUGAACGCUGGCGGCAGGCCUAACACAUGCAAGUCGAACGAGUGGCGGACGGGUGAGUAAUGUCUGUGAAACUGCCUGAUGGAUGGGGUUAACUACUGGAAACGGUAGCUAAUAACGCAUUCCAUCAGAUGGGCCCAGAUGGGUUUAGCUAGUUGGUGGGGUAACGGCUCACCAAGGCGACGAUCCCUAACUGGUCUGAGAGGAUGACCAGCCACACUGGAACUGAGACACGGUCCAGACUCCUACGGGAGGCAGCAGUGGGGAAUAUUGCACAAUGGGCGAAAGCCUGAUGCAGCCAUGCCGCGUGUAUGAAGAAGGCCUUCGGGUUGUAAAGUACUUUCAGCGGGGAGGCGUUACCAGCAGAAGAAGCACCGGCUAACUCCGUGCCAGCAGCCGCGGUAAUAC
rnacentral:rRNA from 1 species